rnacentral:pre_miRNA from 1 species
AAUGUACUCCCUCCGUCCCAAAAUUCUUGUCUUAGAUUCGUCUAGAUACGGAUGUAUCUAAUACUAAAACAUGACUUGAUACAUCCGUAUUUAGACAAAUCUAGGACAAGAAUUUUGGGACGGAGGGAGUAUGUA